AAUGAACGCUGGCGGCAGGCCUAACACAUGCAAGUCGAACGGAUCCUUCGGGAUUAGUGGCGGACGGGUGAGUAACGCGUUGGAACAUACCCUUUGGUACGGAAUAGCCUCGGGAAACCGGGAGUAAUACCGUAUGUGGUCGAGAGACGAAAGAUUUAUCGCCAAAGGAUUGGCCCGCGUUGGAUUAGGUAGUUGGUGGGGUAAUGGCCUACCAAGCCGACGAUCCAUAGCUGGUUUGAGAGGAUGAUCAGCCACACUGGGACUGAGACACGGCCCAGACUCCUACGGGAGGCAGCAGUGGGGAAUCUUAGACAAUGGGGGAAACCCUGAUCUAGCCAUGCCGCGUGAUCGAUGAAGGCCUUAGGGUUGUAAAGAUCUUUCAGGUGGGAAGAUAAUGACUGUACCACCAGAAGAAGCCCCGGCUAACUCCGUGCCAGCCGCCGCAGUAACAC
rnacentral:rRNA from 1 species